GCAAACUUGGUCAUUUAGAGGAAGUAAAAGUCGUAACAAGGUUUCCGUAGGUGAACCUGCGGAAGGAUCAUUACCAGUGCCGCCGGCACGGGCCCUCUGGGCCUGCGUCGGUCUGAGCCCCACCCGUGAAUACUGAACCUCAUGUUGCCUCGGCGGGCCCGCCGCCCAGCGGCCGUCGGGGGUUCCCAGGGCGGUGUCUUCACUGCUCUGGCCCCCGGGCCCGCGCCCGCCGACGGAUACUGAACUUCUGAUGGAACUAAUGGGCUGUCUGAGUGAUUGUCAAAUCGUUAAAACUUUCAACAACGGAUCUCUUGGUUCCGGCAUCGAUGAAGAACGCAGC
rnacentral:misc_RNA from 1 species